rnacentral:rRNA from 1 species
ACUCUGGGAUAAGCCCGGGAAAACUGGGUCUAAUACCGGAUACGAACCAAUCUCCGUAUGGGGCGUUCGGUGGAAAGCGUUAUGGAGUCGGUUUUAGAUGGGCUCACGGCCUAUCAGCUUGUUGGUGAGGUAAUGGCUUACCAAGGCGACGACGGGUAGCCGGCCUGAGAGGGUGACCGGCCACACUGGGACUGAGACACGGCCCAGACUCCUACGGGAGGCAGCAGUGGGGAAUAUUGCACAAUGGGCGCAAGCCUGAUGCAGCGACGCCGCGUGAGGGAUGACGGCCUUCGGGUUUGUAAACCUCUGUUAGCAUCGAAGAAGCGAAAGGUGACGGUAGGUGCAGAGAAAGCGCCGGCUAACUACGUGCCAGCAGCCGCGGUAAUACGUAGGGCGCGAGCGUUGUCCGGAAUUAUUGGGCGUAAAGAGCUUGUAGGCGGUUGGUCGCGUCUGCUGUGAAAGGCUGGGGCUUAACCCUGGUUUUGCAGUGGGUACGGGCUAACUAGAGUGCAGUAGGGGAGACUGGAAUUCCUGGUGUAGCGGUGGAAUGCGCAGAUAUCAGGAGGAACACCGAUGGCGAAGGCAGGUCUCUGGGCUGUAACUGACGCUGAGAAGCGAAAGCAUGGGGAGCGAACAGGAUUAGAUACCCUGGUAGUCCAUGCCGUAAACGUUGGGCACUAGGUGUGGGGGACAUUCCACGUUUUCCGCGCCGUAGCUAACGCAUUAAGUGCCCCGCCUGGGGAGUACGGCCGCAAGGCUAAAACUCAAAGAAAUUGACGGGGGCCCGCACAAGCGGCGGAGCAUGCGGAUUAAUUCGAUGCAACGCGAAGAACCUUACCAAGGCUUGACAUAUACUGGACUGCGUCAGAGAUGGCGUUUCCCUUCGGGGCUGGUAUACAGGUGGUGCAUGGUUGUCGUCAGCUCGUGUCGUGAGAUGUUGGGUCAAGUCCCGCAACGAGCGCAACCCUCGUUCUAUGUUGCCAGCACGUGAUGGUGGGGACUCAUAGGAGACUGCCGGGGUCAAACCCGGAGGAAGGUGGGGAUGACGUCAAAUCAUCAUGCCCCUUAUGUCUUGGGCUUCACGCAUGCUACAAUGGCCGGUACAGAGGGUUGCGAUACUGUGAGGUGGAGCUAAUCCCUAAAAAGCCGGUCUCAGUUCGGAUUGGGGUCUGAAACUGAACCCCAGAAGUUGGGAGUGGCUGUUAUUCGCAAUCAGGAAAGGCUGCGGUGAAUACUUUCCCGGCCUUGCACACCCCGCCCGUUCGGAGGGAGAUUCGUUGUGACCCGCAGGAACGUUGCCCCAUUGUUGGGAGAGUGACUGGUC